CCUACGGGGGGCAGCAGUGAGGAAUAUUGGUCAAUGGGCGAGAGCCUGAACCAGCCAAGUCGCGUGAAGGAUGACGGCCCUACGGGUUGUAAACUUCUUUUGUCAGGGAGCAAGUGAGGCCACGUGUGGGCUUAGCGAGAGGACCUGAAGAAAAAGCAGCGGCUAACUCCGUGCCAGCAGCCGCGGUAAUACGGAGGAUGCGAGCGUUAGCCGGUUUUAUUGGGUUUAAAGGGGGCGUAGGCGGAAUAUCAAGUCAGCGGUAAAAAUUCGGGGCUCAACCCCGUCGUGCCGUUGAAACUGGUGUUCUUGAGUGGGCGAGAAGUCUGCGGACUGCGUGGUGUAGCGGUGAAAUGCAUAGCUAUCACGCAGAACUCCGAUUGCGCAGGCAGCAUACCGGCGCCCAACUGACGCUGACGCACGAAAGCGUGGGUAUCGAACAGGAUUAGAUACCCUUGUAGUC
rnacentral:rRNA from 1 species